CGGAUGGGUGAGUAACACGUGGGCAACCUGCCUAUAAGAAUGGGAUAACUUACGGAAACGUGAGCUAAUACCGGAUGAAACCUCUUAUCACCUGGUAAGAGGAUGAAAGAUGGCUUUUAGCUAUCACUUAUAGAUGGGCCCGCGGCGCAUUAGCUAGUUGGUGAGAUAAAAGCUCACCAAGGCAACGAUGCGUAGCCGACCUGAGAGGGUGAUCGGCCACACUGGGACUGAGACACGGCCCAGACUCCUACGGGAGGCAGCAGUAGGGAAUCUUCCGCAAUGGACGAAAGUCUGACGGAGCAACGCCGCGUGAACGAAGAAGGUUCUCGGAUCGUAAAGUUCUGUUGUUAGGGAUGAACACUUUCCAUUCGAAUAGGGUGGUACCUUGACGGUACCUAACGAGAAAGCCCCGGCUAACUACGUGCCAGCAGCCGCGGUAAUACGUAGGGGG
rnacentral:rRNA from 1 species